rnacentral:tRNA from 1 species
UACAUCUUAGUAUUUAUGUAUGCAAACUUUUGAUGUUUGUGGGGCUAGGUAAGUCUAGCAGGUGUAG